rnacentral:rRNA from 1 species
GAUGAACGCUGGCGGCGUGCCUAAUACAUGCAAGUCGAGCGGAGCGGCGGACGGGUGAGUAAUGCCUAGGCAUCUGUCUUGUAGCGGGGGAUAACGUCCGGAAACGGGCGCUAAUACCGCAUACUAUCAGAUGAGCCUAGGUCGGAUUAGCUAGUUGGUGGGGUAAAGGCCUACCAAGGCGACGAUCCGUAACUGGUCUGAGAGGAUGAUCCGUCACACUGGAACUGAGACACGGUCGAGACUCCUACGGGAGGCAGCAGUGGGGAAUAUUGGACAAUGGGCGAAAGCCUGAUCCAGACAGGCCGCGUGUGUGAAGAAGGUCUUCGGAUUGUAAAGCACUUUAAGUUGGGAGGCGUUACCAACAGAAUAAGCACCGGCUAACUUCGUGCCAGCAGCCGCGGUAAUUC